rnacentral:rRNA from 1 species
UACGUAGGGUGCAAGCGUUGUCCGGAAUUAUUGGGCGUAAAGAGCUCGUAGGCGGUUUGUCGCGUCGGCUGUGAAAACCUGGGGCUCAACCCCGGGCCUGCAGCCGAUACGGGCAAACUAGAAUUCGGUAGGGGAGACUGGAAUUCCUGGUGUAGCGGUGAAAUGCGUAGAUAUCAGGAGGAACACCUGUGGCGAAAGCGGCUCACUGGACCAUAACUGACGCUGAUGCACGAAAGCUAGGGGAGCAAACAGG